rnacentral:rRNA from 1 species
AGAGUUUGAUCCUGGCUCAGAUUGAACGCUGGCGGCAUGCUUUACACAUGCAAGUCGAACGGGGACAAGGUGCUUGCUCCUUAAUCUAGUGGCGAACGGGUGAGUAAUGCAUCGGAACGUACCCGGUAGUGGGGGAUAACUCGCCGAAAGGCGUGUUAAUACCGCAUAUUCUGUGAGGGGGAAAGCGGGGGACCUUAAGGCCUUGUGCUUCCGGAGCGGCCGAUGUCUGAUUAGCUAGUUGGUGAGGUAAAGGCUCACCAAGGCGACGAUCCGUAGCGGGUCUGAGAGGAUGAUCCGCCACACUGGGACUGAGACACGGCCCAGACUCCUACGGGAGGCAGCAGUGGGGAAUUUUGGACAAUGGGCGCAAGCCUGAUCCAGCCAUGCCGCGU